rnacentral:lncRNA from 1 species
CCCAGUUGUACUUGUUCAAAGAAUUGCAGGUAACUGAGUUUUGCAAAGGAUACAUCAGCUGCGUCCUGAAAAUAAAGGGUCCUUUAUUUUAGAACAGCCUUCUAUGAUGUAAUGGUCCAGAAAUUCAGCCCACCUCGUCUGCAACAAGUAAAAAACAACAAGUAAAAAAAAUAAAGUAUGUUUCAGUAAAGCAUCCAGCCACAGCUAUUUGCUCCAGUAGCCCGACUUAAACCCUGCCUUUACUGAUCUCCAAAAUAAAACAGUUUUUCAAUAGAAAGCGGCCAUUUUUUAUACUGGAAGACGUGGAUACGAAGAUGAAUGGAAUGUCUUUAGUAAUUUAUUUAUUGGAGAUCCCGGCAGAGAUCUGCUGCCCAGAGCUCAGUGUGUGGGCUGUGUGGAGCUGUGUGGAUGUUUUAUUUAUUAUCUGCUUUUUCUGAUCAGGGUUGCAGAGUCCAGAGUCAAGCCAGAAUCACUGAGCACAAGGCAGGAAUGCCCCCUGGACCGGUCAGCAGUGUAUUGCAGGGUCAUUUGAUUUCUUGCUUUUUUCUUUCAUUGGGAGGUGUCAACCAUGAGGCAUCCCUGUCAGCAUGUAUCACAGAUUUGCACUUCUGAGGAGCAGAGAAUGCAGGGAGUAAUCGUUCUCUUUUGCCAAGGAUUUCUUUUUCUUUUUUUUGUCAUAUAUGAAAUGUAAAGAUGUUACAAUGGGUUCUUUGGUCGAUGCCAUGGAAGAAACACUUUUAUUAUACUACCAAACAGUUUUAGCUUGGUUUUGAUUGGGUCUGAUUUUUAGAUCACAGGCAAAAACUUUUGCUCAGAGUCAGAUCGGCGAUCACUCAGCGCAUGCUUAAUCGUGUAGGGUUAACUGCUAAAAGACGCUCGCUGAGGCAUCGCAUAGUGAACGCUAACCAGUCACAGAUGCCCAGCAAGCAUCUAGCAGUUUUAAUAUCUAGACCAGUAUUUUGGGGUAAUAUGUUGGUAAUAGAUUAAGACCAUCAGCUAUUUCCAUUCAUACUUAAA